UUUGCUCAGGCCAAUCUACACCCCAUGGCCAUUCAAAGUUGUACAAAUCAUGACGCUGCACCCCACGGUUUACGUUCUAGGGGGCGCCAAAGAUAACCCAAAAAUCCACAGUCUUAAAAGUCUUAUAACUUUUUAUUUUUGUCCUCACUGGCCUCCAAGUUCUCUAGGAUGAUGCAAUGUCCAGCCAUCAACACAUUUGUGAAGGAAUUUUUACUCGCCAAAAGAGCGCCCCCCCCCAUGGCAGGAGAAAAAAGUCAAUUUUUUCUUGUCCCCCAAGGCAAAAAUACACAUUGUUGAAUGUCACGCCUGUACGCUUUGUCAUAUUGACACAAAAUUUGACAAUCACGUAUAUCUCAAUAAGAUCUACGAAAAAGUCAAAGAGCGCGUAUCUGUAUAAUGUACGGUAAAAGGGCUAUUUCGCAUUUUUUGCCGAUUCACACACAUUGGAAUGUGGCCAACUCCUC